rnacentral:rRNA from 1 species
UACGUAGGGGGCAAGCGUUGUCCGGAUUUAUUGGGCGUAAAGCGCGCGCAGGCGGUUGAUUAAGUCUGGUGUCUAAACCUUGGGCUCAACCUGGGGACGCAUCGGAAACUGGUCAACUGGAGUGUAGGAGAGGAAAGUGGAAUUCCACGUGUAGCGGUGAAAUGCGUAGAGAUGUGGAGGAACACCAGUGGCGAAGGCGACUUUCUGGCCUAUAACUGACGCUGAGGCGCGAAAGCGUGGGGAGCAAACAGG